UACGAAGGGGACUAGCGUUGUUCGGAAUUACUGGGCGUAAAGCGCACGUAGGCGGAUACUUAAGUCAGGGGUGAAAUCCCGGGGCUCAACCCCGGAACUGCCUUUGAUACUGGGUAUCUCGAGUCCGGAAGAGGUGAGUGGAAUUCCGAGUGUAGAGGUGAAAUUCGUAGAUAUUCGGAGGAACACCAGUGGCGAAGGCGGCUCACUGGUCCGGUACUGACGCUGAGGUGCGAAAGCGUGGGGAGCAAACAGG
rnacentral:rRNA from 1 species